rnacentral:rRNA from 1 species
CACGUAGGGUGCGAGCGUUUGUCCGGAAUUAUUGGGCGUAAAGAGCUCGUAGGCGGUGUGUCGCGUCGGCCGUGAAAACCUGCAGCUUAACUGUGGGCUUGCGGUCGAUACGGGCAUCACUGGAGUUCGGCAGGGGAGACUGGAAUUCCUGGUGUAGCGGUGAAAUGCGCAGAUAUCAGGAGGGAACACCGGUGGCGAAGGCGGGUCUCUGGGCCGUAACUGGACGCUGGAGGAGCGAAAGCGUGGGGAGCGAACAGG